UACGUAGGAGGCGAGCGUUGUCCGGAAUUACUGGGCGUAAAAGAGCGCGUAGGCGGCGCUGUACGACCCGUGUGAAAGCCCCCGGCUCAACUGGGGAGGGUCACGGGUAACGGCAGUGCUCUGAGUGCAGGAGAGGGAAGUGGAACUCCGGGAGUAGCGGUGAAAUACGUAGAGACCCGGAGGAACACCGGUGGCGAAGGCGGCUUCCUGGUCUGCAACUGACGCUGUGGCGCGAAAGCUAGGGGAGCAAACGGG
rnacentral:rRNA from 1 species